rnacentral:rRNA from 1 species
AGAGUUUGAUCCUGGCUCAGGAUGAACGCUAGCGGCAGGCUUAACACAUGCAAGUCGAGGGGCAGCGCGGGGCGGCAACGUCCUGGCGGCGACCGGCGGAAGGGUGCGUAACGCGUGAGCGACAUGCCCGUUGCCCGGGGACAACCGGUGGAAACGCCGACUAAUCCCCGAUGGGAUACGAUGCUUCAUGGCAUUGUAUUGAAAGUUACGGCGGCGACGGAUUGGCUCGCGUCCGAUUAGCUUGUUGGCGGGGUAACGGCCCACCAAGGCUACGAUCGGUAGGGGUUCUGAGAGGAAGGCCCCCCACAAUGGGACUGAGACACGGCCCAUACUCCUACGGGAGGCAGCAGUGAGGAAUAUUGGUCAAUGGGCGGAAGCCUGAACCAGCCAUGCCGCGUGCGGGAAGGAGGCCCUAUGGGCUGUGAACCGCUUUUGCCUGGGGGCAAUAAGGGCGUCGCGCACGUCCGAUGAGAGUACCAGGCGAAUAAGCAUCGGCUAACUCCGUGCCAGCAGCCGCGGUAAUACGGGGGAUGCGAGCGCUAUCCGGAUUCAUUGGGUUUAAAGGGUGCGUAGGCUGUGCGUCAAGUCGGGGGUGAAAUUCCGGUGCUCAACACCCGGGGCUGCCCUUGAUACUGUCGCGCUGGAGUGCGGAUGCCGCCGGAGGAAUGAGUGGUGUAGCGGUGAAAUGCUUAGAUAUCACUCAGAACACCGAUUGCGAAGGCAUCUGGCGAAUCCGUAACUGACGCUGAGGCACGAAAGCGUGGGGAUAGAACAGGAUUAGAUACCCUGGUAUUCCACGCCGUAAACGAUGA